rnacentral:rRNA from 1 species
AUCAUGGCUCAGGAUGAACGCUAGCGACAGGCUUAACACAUGCAAGUCGAGGGCAGCAUAGAAGUAGCAAUACUUCGGUGGCGACCGGCGCACGGGUGAGUAACGCGUAUGCAACCUACCUAUCAGAGGGGAAUAACCCGGCGAAAGUCGGACUAAUACCGCAUAAAACAGGGGCACCGCAUGGUGAUAUUUGUUAAAGAAAUUCGCUGAUAGAUGGGCAUGCGUUCCAUUAGGUAGUUGGUGAGGUAACGGCUCACCAAGCCGACGAUGGAUAGGGGAACUGAGAGGUUGGUCCCCCACACUGGUACUGAGACACGGACCAGACUCCUACGGGAGGCAGCAGUGAGGAAUAUUGGUCAAUGGGCGGGAGCCUGAACCAGCCAAGUCGCGUGAAAGGAAGAAGGAUCUAUGGUUCGUAAACUUCUUUUGCAGGGGAAUAAAGUGCAGGACGUGUCCUGUUUUGUAUGUACCCUGAGAAUAAGGAUCGGCUAACUCCGUGCCAGCAGCCGC